rnacentral:rRNA from 1 species
GAUGAACGCUGACAGAAUGCUUAACACAUGCAAGUCGAUGGGGAAGUGGUGCUUGCACCAUGGCAACCAUGGCGGACGGGUGAGUAACGCGUAAGGGACUUACCUGCAGGACUGGGAUAACAGGGGGAAACUCCUGACAAGACCGGAUAAUGUCAUGGAGCUGCAUGGCUUUAUGAUGAAAGGAGACGCCUGCGGAGAGCCUUGCGUCCUAUUAGCUAGUUGGUGAGGUAAUGGCUCACCAAGGCGAAGAUAGGUAGCCGGCCUGAGAGGGUGGACGGCCACAAGGGGACUGAGAUACGGCCCUUACUCCUACGGGAGGCAGCAGUGGGGAAUAUUGGACAAUGGGGGCAACCCUGAUCCAGCAAUUCUGUGUGGACGAAGAAGGUUUUCGGAUUGUAAAGUGCUUUCAGCAGGGAAGAAGUAAGUGACGGUACCUGCAGAAGAAGCGACGGCUAAAUACGUG